UAAUUUUGUGAAUUUCUUGCCAUAUUUUUCUUCAUAAAUUUUGGCACAUGUUAUGAACAAUUAGUAUGCAAUUUUAUGAUAAAUGUGAUGUUGAUUUUAUGAUUGUGCUACUGUUUUGGUAUGAUUUGUGUGUUUCUUGCAUUUUAAGCAACUUUUCUUCUCAUUAUGUCUUGGUUAUUCUCAUCAUUUCUUUACCAUUUCAUUUCAUAUUCAAUUGAUUGCUUUUUCCUAUCACUCAUGUUAUAUUUUUCAUCUUGUUUUGCUAACAUUGUUGACUCAUGUUUCACUCAUCUCAUAGCAUCUUACCACAUCAUUCUCAUUUCUAUUAGAUUAGGUUUUAUUUCUUGCAAUUUUUCCUUUUUU
rnacentral:lncRNA from 1 species